rnacentral:rRNA from 1 species
UGAGGAAUAUUGGGCAAUGGACGAAAGUCUGACCCAGCCAUGCCGCGUGCAGGAUGACUGCCCUAUGGGUUGUAAACUGCUUUUGUAUAGGAAUAAACCCCCGCACGUGUGCGGGGCUGAAGGUACUAUACGAAUAAGGAUCGGCUAACUCCGUGCCAGCAGCCGCGGUAAUACGGAGGAUCCAAGCGUUAUCCGGAUUUAUUGGGUUUAAAGGGUCCGCAGGCGGGUUAUUAAGUCAGUGGUGAAAGCCUGCAGCUUAACUGUAGAACUGCCAUUGAUACUGGUAAUCUUGAGUGUGGUUGAAGUGGGCGGAAUGUGUCAUGUAGCGGUGAAAUGCAUAGAUAUGACACAGAACACCAAUUGCGAAGGCAGCUCACUAAGCCAUUACUGACGCUCAGGGACGAAAGCGUGGGGAGCGAACAGGAUUAGAUACCCCCGUAGUCC